rnacentral:rRNA from 1 species
GACGAACGCUGGCGGCGUGCUUAACACAUGCAAGUCGAACGGAAAGGCCCUGCUUUUGUGGGGUGCUCGAGUGGCGAACGGGUGAGUAACACGUGAGUAACCUGCCCUUGACUUUGGGAUAACUUCAGGAAACUGGGGCUAAUACCGGAUAGGAGCUCCUGCUGCAUGGUGGGGGUUGGAAAGUUUCGGCGGUUGGGGAUGGACUCGCGGCUUAUCAGCUUGUUGGUGGGGUAGUGGCUUACCAAGGCUUUGACGGGUAGCCGGCCUGGGAGGGUGACCGGCCACAUUGGGGCUGGGAUACGGCCCAGCCUCCUACGGGAGGCAGCAGUGGGGAAUAUUGCACAAUGGGCGGAGGCCUGAUGCAGCAACGCCGCGUGAGGGAUGACGGCCUUCGGGUGGUAAACCGCUUUCGCCUGUGACGAAGCGUGAGUGACGGUAAUGGGUAAAGAAGCAACGGCUAACUACGUG